UUCAUUGCAUUUCAUUUUCUAGGCAUCCUGCAGAGCUGAUAUCAUAAGACUUGAACAACAUAACAAAUAAUAUCCCACCAUCUGAAAAUACUCAUGUAUCUGAUCAGUUAAAUGAGAAAGAGGAACAAAUAACGAAAUGAAAAAUUAUGAAUGCUGAUAUCCGAUGGUUUUAGUUAUGAGAAUGAGGAAACGUCUGUUUUGUGCUGUUUUGGUUUUUUUUUCUAUAGUGUAACAAAAGAGUUUUUAACUAGGUAAAUCAUUACCCAUAAUAAACAACAAGUUUAGUUUUGCUAAUAUGGUUAGAUGUAUGUAUGCUGUUUUCAGAACUCCAGCUGGCAGGAUGCCCACACUUCAGCAUGUGAUUGACCAAGUGUGUUUUACUUUAUGUAGGAAUAAAUGAACUUGAUACUUAUAAUUUUAUUCAAGAGCAGCCAUGUAGGUAUUUAUUUCAGUUAUAGUUUGUUUUAUUUAUGUUAUGACAUACUGAAACAUAAAUGUAAGUGCUUCUGUCAUGUAUUUCAAUCAGUGUUUCUGUUCUUGUUCAAUUACUGGAUAUAUUUUUUGAAAAUCUUGCUUGGUUAAUUUUGUUUUUUAAAGGGUGUUUUGUUUUGAAGUAGCCACAGUACUAUGGCAUGGAAGAAACAGUACCAGAAGAGAUGGGAUAUGAUUAUGCAGAGAUAAACACAAGUAUUUAGAUAGCACCCACUUUGUAGAAUCUCAUCCAAGUUCCAAAAAUGGUGUUUCAGGGUAUAUACAGAUUUUUGCAGGAAGCAAAGAAAGCAAACUAAGGCAGUGAGUGCAGGUAAUCUAAAUAAACUGGUAUAUGAAAUAACGCUUGACAGGAGGUGCAUCUGUGUAUGAAUUCUAGAAUUAUUUCUUUGUUAAAGUUUCCCCAGUAACUUAAUGGACCAAAAUCUGCCUCCCCUGCCCCAACAAUAUCUGCUGCUUGAAUCAAAGGUAUUUCUACUCUCCAGGAGUCUUGUUUCUCCAAAACCUGCAGUGAGUUAUCUUUGAGAAUAUCUGCUUUACUGAUAAAAAACAGUAUCUAUAUAUUGGACAAUAGAUUCAGAGCUAAUCAGCUCUUUGUAAUAUUCAUCUUGAUAUACUACUCCAGUUCCUUUGCAAACUGACUUUCCUAUGCAGAAAGUAGACAUGGUUUGAUACCUUUAAUUUUGAGUGAUGGAGAGUGAAGGAAUGCUACCUUUUUUUUGUGUGUAUCAACAUAUUUUCAAAUUGUUUGCUAUCUUCUACUUUACCUGCAAAAACUAUUCAUUCCACUGUCUCUGUUUCUAGAGCAGUUCUGCAGAAAAGCAUUGGGAGAUACCAGUAUCUGUUCUAGAUGUCUUCCUUGGCUGACAGCUCUGAAGAAUCAAAUGUUCAAAAUAGACUGGCUUAUUUAAACUCCUCCCCAGGGAGCAGUUCCACACUGUUAUCCAACUUGCAGUUCCUAGAGCAUAAAUUAAUUCAAGCUGCAUUCACUGCUCAUUUUCUUGAGCUGUAUUAACAUGGGCAGUGAGCAAUUGUUGGGUGUGUGGCAGCAUUUCCACAGAUAUACAGAAGCACUGGCCAUUUACUCCAUUGCAGGACAAAACUAACCUGUGUAUAGCAAAAAUUAUGCUUGCCCUGGAAAAGGAUGACCAGAGACCCUAAUGGAGUUUAUAGUUUUACACUAAAAUGUGAGAAUGUGAGUAUCACCUGGGAACACCCUAAAAUCACAAGGUCUAAAAAAUAGGAUAGUCAACCCUGGCCUAUGGGAAAGUAGAAGGUCUGGAUUUAGUAAAAUGUUAGGACUUCUCAGGGGAAGAAGCUGUUCAGUAUUUUGAAGAGUGGUUCAUCAUUCCAGCAGCUGGUCUAAGCUUCUGCUACUGCUUCAGGUACUUCAGGAGUGAAUUUGAAAACUGUUGAGUAGUUUAAAGAGACUGACAUCAUGAAAAUUAUUUAGAUCACCAUGGCUUCCAUCACCUGGGUUCAGUUCUCUGUGCAGCUACAGAUGAGACAAGAACUAUUGCACCAGGGAAUAGUUUUGAUCAGGUGUACUGCCGUUCUGAGGCAGACUAGAUUAGUGCUUUGGCUGUAGCACAGCAGAAGGGAGAAUGUACAACCCCCCAGCAGGGCUGGGGAGCCUCUGGACUAUGAUAUGUGCAAAGAUUUUCACACCAAGCUGGAAAAGGAUACCAAGCAGGUUCUUACUGGAACUUCCUGAUGCAAAUACCUCUUCACAUGCAGGGCUUUUUCUUCCACAUCCCACUGUGACUCCUGCAGAGAGGAACUGUUCUAGAAGUUUAGAAAGAAUCUCAAGCAGCAGAAAAUAAAUCUUGGCCUAAAGAUGAGCUGUUAACAUAUAAUAAGCAGGUGAAGCAGGUUGCAAGGCUUGGUACAUGGAGAGGAGCCGGUCUUACUGUCAGAGAGCAAGGCAAAUAAGGCAUUAAUGACAAUGUUUGUAGGUAGUUUGAAGAGUAUACUCUGCAACAUCAAUUAAUCUGUUGGUUGCUAAUCUAAAUAUGCCAAAUUAUGUAUAAACAAUACACAGUGCAGUGUCAUUGAUGGUUAUUUUUAUAAUAUUAAAGAAUAUGGUAAGAUUAAUUAUUACUUCUAAAUUAUAUAGUACUAUUCGACAAAAAAACAGUUUCAUUUAACAGUACUGGGAUGCUGUGAUGAUAUUUUUUAGACAGUAUUAAAUAUUUUGAGCAGCUCAGUAUUUUGGUAAUAUAUGGGUGCUAUUGUUGCAACAAUGCUCAUCAAUGUGUGUUCAAUGAUCUUACAAGAGAAAGUUACUUGCAAGAUUUGCACCUGAAAAGAUAACAUGCAUUUGGUUGUAUUUAACACAAAUACUACAUAAUUCAAAUCUAUUAUUCAAGUUGAAAGUGCAUGCUUUUACACACAGAAAGAUGAAUGGAGAUAAGUUUUUAGAAAAAGAGAAAUUGUUUUAAAAACUCAUAUGAACUAGCUAAAUGCUCUAAUGUGUCCUUGGCAGAACUAUUUUAAAAGAAAUUAAUUACAAUGUACUACAUAUUCAUAUUUCUGUGAAGACUAUUCAUUGUCAUGCUGUUGUGAUGUAUGAUUUCAAAAAUAUUUUUCUUUGCUUGGUGGGCUGAAAAGCCUAUGCAAUUUCAAGAAAAAUUGAUUGAUUGUGCAGAUGAACUUGCAAAUUUGAUUAUACACAAAGAAGCCAGAUGAAGAAAUGCAGCUAUUUGCUUUAGUCACUGUAAUCUUUUGUUACAUUUGUAACUGAAUUACAUAAAUAUUUUUAUUUAAAAGGUUUUGUGCUAGUUUUCUGGUGUUCUACAAAGAAAAUUAAAAAUGAGGUUAUAUAAAUUCAAAGUGUCUAUGUAAUACUAAGUGUGCUGGGUCAUGUUCUCUGAUUUUAGUUUUAAGGGAAUUCCUCUCUGCUUAGUGUAGCCUCCAUUAUUCAUUAACAAGAGUGUGUUGAAGUCCCCCUCUAUGGUGUGUUUCACAAAACAGAUUAAGAUAGACAGCCUUCCCAGACUUGAAGAAGUAAUUGCCAUGGUGUAGCAGGAGGAGAUGGGCCCAAAAGUGGACCUACUUUUUACAUGGAGAUAGACUUUUUUUCAAAAUAAAGCACUUCAAAUUUCA